rnacentral:rRNA from 1 species
AACGAACGCUGGCGGCAUGCCUAACACAUGCAAGUCGAACGAGACCUGCGGGUCUAGUGGCGCACGGGUGCGUAACGCGUGGGAACCUGCCCUUAGGUUCGGAAUAACUCCCCGAAAGGGGUGCUAAUACCGGAUAAUUUCUUCGGACCAAUGAUUUAUCGCCUUUGGAUGGGCCCGCGUUGGAUUAGCUAGUUGGUAGGGUAAAAGCCUACCAAGGCGACGAUCCAUAGCUGGUCUGAGAGGAUGAUCAGCCACACUGGGACUGAGACACGGCCCAGACUCCUACGGGAGGCAGCAGUGGGGAAUAUUGGACAAUGGGCGAAAGCCUGAUCCAGCAAUGCCGCGUGAGUGAUGAAGGCCUUAGGGUUGUAAAGCUCUUUUAACCGGGAUGAUAAUGACAGUACCGGGAGAAUAAGCGCCGGCUAACUCCGUG